UUUGGUGCAUGUUCUUGCAAUAAUCAAAACACAAUGGACAUUGUUUAUUUUUUUUUAUAUAUGUUGUUAAAGAGGCACUAGCUGUCAAAUUCAUGUUCACAGAUUUGACUCAACUUCUCAUAUUAGAUUUACAACAAUUAGCUCAAUAGUAUGUAGCUUCUUUUUGUGUGUAUUAUAGUCUAGAAGCCAUCUAAUUAACUAUCAAGAUGACCCACGAAAACAAC
rnacentral:lncRNA from 1 species